rnacentral:miRNA from 1 species
CGUCUAUAUUCGACGUCAUAAACACAAUCAACUUAGGUGUUUAUCAUGUCGAUAUUCGACGUCAUAAACACGAUUAAUUUUGGUGUUUAUGACGUCGAUAUUCGACCUCAUAAACCCAUUCAACUUUGGUGGGAAACUUUGGUUGGAAAAAGAUAAAUUUUUUAUAUAAAAUUCGUCGAUAUUCGGCGUCAUAAACACGAUCAACUUUGGUGUGUAUGACCUCGAUAUUCGACGUGAUAAACACAAUCAACUUUGGUGUUUAUGACGUCGACGUGAUAAACACG